rfam:Rhizobium etli CNPAF512 RHECNPAF_contig334, whole genome shotgun sequence.
ACCCAUCGAAACGGCUUUCUCCUCCUCCCAUAAGCCGUUCGACAGGGUCGACAACACUCCUCCUCCCAGUUGUCGAUCGAGUUUAUAAGCCCGACGGAUCUCCUCCCCCGUCGGGCUUUCUCG